GAUGAACGCUGGCGGCGUGCCUAAUACAUGCAAGUCGAGCGAACAGACGAGGAGCUUGCUCCUCUGACGUUAGCGGCGGACGGGUGAGUAACACGUGGAUAACCUACCUAUAAGACUGGGAUAACUUCGGGAAACCUGAGCUAAUACCGGAUAAUAUAUUGAACGGCAUGGUUCAAUAGUGAAAGACGGUUUUGCUGUCACUUAUAGAUGGAUCCACGCCGCAUUAGCUAGUUGGUAAGGUAACGGCUUACCAAGGCAACGAUGCGUAGCCGACCUGAGAGGGUGAUCGGCCACACUGGAACUGAGACACGGUCCAGACUCCUACGGGAGGCAGCAGUAGGGAAUUUUCGACAAUGGGCGAAAGCUUGACGGAGCAACGCCGCGUGAGUGAUGAAGGUCUUCGGGUCGUAAAACUCUGUUAUUAGGGAAGAAAAAAUGUGGAAGUAACUAUGCACGUCUUGACGGUACCUAAUCAGAAAGCCACGGCUAACUACGUG
rnacentral:rRNA from 1 species